rnacentral:rRNA from 1 species
GACGAACGCUGGCGGCGUGCUUAACACAUGCAAGUCGAGCGGUAAGGCCCUUUCGGGGGUACACGAGCGGCGAACGGGUGAGUAACACGUGGGUGACCUGCCCUCAGCUCUGGGAUAAGCCUGGGAAACCGGGUCUAAUACCGGAUAUGACUCCAUGACGCAUGUUGUGGGGUGGAAAGCCUUGUGCGGCUGAGGAUGGGCCCGCGGCCUAUCAGCUUGUUGGUGGGGUGAUGGCCUACCAAGGCGACGACGGUAGCCGGCCUGAGAGGCGACCGGCCACACUGGGACUGAGACACGGCCCAGACUCCUACGGGAGGCAGCAGUGGGGAAUCUUGCGCAAUGGGCGAAAGCCUGACGCAGCGACGCCGCGUGAGGGAUGACGGCCUGGU